GUUAAAACUCAAAGGAAUUGACGGGGACCCGCACAAGCGGUGGAUGAUGUGGAUUAAUUCGAUGCAACGCGAAAAACCUUACCUACCCUUGACAUGUCCAGAAGCCCGAAGAGAUUUGGGUGUGCCCGAAAGGGAGCUGGAACACAGGUGCUGCAUGGCUGUCGUCAGCUCGUGUCGUGAGAUGUUGGGUUAAGUCCCGCAACGAGCGCAACCCUUGUCGUUAAUUGCCAUCAUUUAGUUGGGCACUUUAACGAGACUGCCGGUGACAAACCGGAGGAAGGUGGGGAUGACGUCAAGUCCUCAUGGCCCUUAUGGGUAGGGCUUCACACGUCAUACAAUGGUCGGUACAGAGGGUUGCCAAGCCGCGAGGUGGAGCCAAUCCCAGAAAGCCGAUCGUAGUCCGGAUUGCAGGCUGCAACUCGCCUGCAUGAAGUCGGAAUCGCUAGUAAUCGCGGAUCAGCAUGUCGCGGUGAAUACGUUCCCGGGUCUUGUACACACCGCCCGUCACACCAUGGGAGCGGGUUCCGCCAGAAGUAGGUAGCCUAACCGCAAGGGGGGCGCUUACCACGGCGGGGUUCGUGACUGGGGUGAAGUCG
rnacentral:rRNA from 1 species